rnacentral:lncRNA from 1 species
AACAACCUCUGACCCUAAUCAACUAUAUCACCACAGCUCUUCAUCAUCCUCUGAGUAUGAAUCACCCCCUUACCUUUCCCCUUCUUCUAACCAAGAGUCCUCUGAUCAUGAGUCCUCUGAUCAAGAACACUCUGACCCAAACUCCCCAACAAUAGCUGAAAUUUAUGCUAAAAAUUUCGCCCCACAAACUCAAACACAAACUGAAGUAACCUCUCCCCUCCGAACUUCUCUUCCACAACAAACAACCACCAUCUCCUCUGAAAAUCAAACCUCACUUCCACCACAAACAACCACCACACCCUCUGAAACCCAACCACCUGUGAUUCAACCAUCUGAACCUUAUAUCACUCCACCACUUAUUCCCGCUGUACCUGGACCAGAC